UUGGAAUCGAUGACGAGAACAAGUAAGCUGGGAUGCGGACCGCAGAGAGUCGACGGCCGGUGCGAGUCGAUGUCUGGAUCAGCUGAAUAUCCUCUCCGAGAUGCCGCGCUGAACCCUGUGCCGCCUGGCGGCACCCAGUAAGCGCGGACGGCUCAUCCGCCGUUACCCGGAUGCGCGGCAAUGCCGCGGCCAAGCGCCGUUAGAAGCGGAUUCGGCAAGCGAAUCCGGACUUUCGCGGAACAAGGGUGGUACCACGGUAACUCUCGUCCCUUUU
rnacentral:ncRNA from 1 species